rnacentral:lncRNA from 1 species
GUUUGAGAGAGAGAGAGAUAGAGUGUUAGAAAUAAAUAAAGACAGAGCAUGUGUGUAAGAAAAACAGUGUGUGUGAAAAAGAGAAAGAGAGUGUGUGUGUGUGAGAGAGACAGACCGAGAGUUUGUGUGUGUGAGAGAGAGAGAGAGAGACAUAGUGUGUGAGAGAGAUAGCGAGAGAGAGAGAGGCAUAGUGUGCGAAAGAGAGAGAGGAAAGAGAGAGAGGUAGGGAUAGAGCAUGGCUGAUCCUGCCCCCAUGGGAGGUCCGGACAGGGACGUAUGUGUGUGUGUGUCUGUGAGCAGUGGGGUGUGGCGCUGUCGUUGCUGGAGAGUUAUGGGCUUCAAUAAGGAUCUACACAAUGUGUGCCAAGUCAAAGCAUGGCCUAAUUAAAACCUUUCUGUGGAAUCUCUCUGAAGUUUAGGCCUGAGAGAAAGAGUCACUGGGAGAACACACAGUCAGAUUAGAGGGAGCUCUCUUUGCAUGCUUCUGCUCACCACACAACACGCACAGAGAGAGAGACAGACGCACACACGCAAGAACACACACACACCCACCCCAAAACACAUGCUCUCAGGCAUGGACAUACACACCACACACUAAAAGCACAAAUAUGGACAAAACUUACAUACACAACACUGAUAACAUUUUGAGCAGGUUUUGUACUGUACUGAAUGUUGUCUUACAUUACAACAGGAAACACAGUUUUCCUCUCAGAACUGCCAGAAGAUUCCAGAAACUGUGAGGAGCCAUCAGAACAGUCUGGAACAUCUGUCCUAUUGUGGUGGGUGACAGCCUAGGGCUUCUGGAGAGAUCAGUCCUACAGCCUCAAACCACCAAGGCAGAGGGCCUCAAACAAACAAGGCCUAGAAAUCUUACAACCACGAACCACCAAGGCCUGCAGAGGACAGAUCCUCCAACAACAAACCACCAAGGCCUGCAGAGGACAGAUCUUCCAACCACGAACCACCAAGGCCUGCAGAUGACAGAUCCUCCAGCCACAAACCACCAAGGCCUGCAGAUGACAGAUCCUCCAACAACAAACCACCAAGGCCUGCAGAGGACAGAUCCUCCAACCAC